ACAAUAGUUACCAAUGUUGUUCUGUUGAAAAAUAAAAAAAUCUAAAAUGGUACCGAUAUGUGUUUGUGCUAGCGAAAAAAUGACUAUCAAUUCUAGGUUCCCGUUCGAAAGCCGAACAACAAGUACAAUCUACCAAGUUGUGCUGCAAACUAGUCGAAACUUUUAAAAACUCAGAUCCUCUCUUCGUUGGGUGGUGAGGACCUGGCGACUGGAGAAUAGCCUGAGGUGCACUAUUAUCCCAGAAUACUUUUCCAGCUACCUGAUUUUUGUGAAUGAAUACAUUUUACCUUAUUCAUUCAAUAAUACGUUUAUAAUAAAUAAAUGAAAUGUCCGUAAUCGA